CCCGCCCGCCCGCGCGUCGGCGCACCCCACCCCGCUCUCUGCACUUCCGCCUCCCGGGCGUGUGUGCUCGUUACUGUAGGACGCGAGUUCCUCGGAUCUGCUAGGAAAAAUGUCUUCAGUCCUCCCUCUUCCUCCAAAAGUUCUUGAACUGUUGGUUUCUGUCACCUCUGGAUUUCAGCCUCUUUUCAUCCACCCACUCCUUGUCCGGUGGGUUCGUGGAGAAGAAGUGAUGACAGGUAUGGAGUUCUCUCUUCUAUAAUAAAUUCUUUAUUCUAUGUUACAGUGA
rnacentral:lncRNA from 1 species